AACGAGUUACCAUGCAAGGAAUGAGAAUGGACUUAGCACUGGGAUUUUUACUGAGAAUAUGGCCUGCCUGAAGGAAAUAUACCUUCACAGUUCUCAGAAGAAUGGACUCAUUGUAAAUGAACGGGGAAUCAAAGCAGCAUCAGCACCACCAAGGGAGUGAGAGGUGAGAAGUGAAGAGAAUGGGUCCGAGAUGUCCUGACUUUCCUCCAGAAGGAGUCUGCUCAGAGGUCAACUCUUCAGAUGAUGAAGUCUAUAAGGAUUUUCUUCAGGAUGGUCUUGGUGUCCUUGGCAACUAUUUCAAGGAAGCAUCUGUGUUUCCACUCUCUUAAGUAGUUGAUAAUAGUGUCACUUAAGAG